rnacentral:rRNA from 1 species
UACGUAGGGGGCAAGCGUUGUCCGGAUUUAUUGGGCGUAAAGAGCGUGUAGGCGGCCUUACAGGUCAGCUGUGAAAACUCGAGGCUCAACCUCGAGACGUCGGUUGAAACCGUAUGGCUAGAGUCCGGAAGAGGAGAGUGGAAUUCACGGUGUAGCAGUGAAAUGCGUAGAUAUCGUGAGGAAGACCAGUGGCGAAGGCGGAUCUCUGGACAGUUCCUGACGCUGAGGCGCGAAGGCCAGGGGAGCAAACGGG